UACGUAGGUGGCGAGCGUUGUCCGGAUUUACUGGGUGUAAAGGGAGCGUAGGCGGGUAAGCAAGUUGAAUGUUAAAUCUAUCGGCUCAACCGAUAGCUGCGUUCAAAACUGCAUAUCUUGAGUGAAGUAGAGGUAGGCGGAAUUCCUAGUGUAGCGGUGAAAUGCGUAGAUAUUAGGAGGAACACCAGUGGUGAAGGCGGCCUACUGGGCUUUUACUGACGCUGAGGCUCGAAAGCGUGGGGAGCAAACAGG
rnacentral:rRNA from 1 species